GAACUAUUAAGAGUGGAAAAGACAAAACCUAGGAAUGUGUAGUAUUUCUGUUCCAUCAGUAGGAAAGAAACUGAAUGAGAACAGAAUAGUACUCUUCUCUUAUCAGAAAAAUGGAGAUCAUACUGAUUAAUUAUAGAUCAUGAAUCAUACAGCAAACAAUGGUCAUAUACAAAUGCACACUGCAACACAUUUCAAUUUUAAAUUACAGGAAACUCACAGCAAAGGUUAUUAUUAGUUAGUGCAGAAUUCAAGUAGCACCACCUUCGCACACUAAAGUUUGGAGUAUAAGCUUACGUGAAUGCAUUACUGUAGCAUGUGUUUAUGCCUGUAAAGUGCUUUUUAUUACAUGUACACAAACAUAAGAGCAGUAGCUUAUCAAGUGAUAAAUUCUAAUCAGCGUAUUAUUUAGUACGACUGAAAAGUGAAUUAAGAAAUAAUAAGUGAAAUUUACUCAGGUGAUUAGAAACCAUCUUUCAAAGAACUGAAGAAUUGGGCUCAAGCUCUAGAAAUAUACCAGGGAGAUUGUAUUUUUUGCAUGCAGAUUGGUGACUUCACUUCUGAAGCGAUCAUGUGGUGAUGUCCUAAUUAUUAACUGCUCAAUAAGUUACUCUUUUAAGACGGAGUUAGUCACAGCACACAUAAACAAAAGUUAGUCACAUCAAUGCCAUUCUAAAUCUCAACCAAGGGGCAAAGCAAACCUUCAAAGUCUCUAGGUUUCCCUCAAGUUCAGGCUCUCCUUCCUCAAAGAAUGAGACCUCCUAAGAAUAUCAAAUGACACUGUCAAAUCAAACAUCUAGCCAGUGUGGUAGAAUGUAUCACAAUGCUACAUGACACCAUGAUAAAUAAAUUAUAAACUCAACGGAUCUAUUUAAAGGUCUCUUGACCACUUGUGACUUGUUAGUACUGUGGCAUCAUAGCAAGCCAAUUCUAAACAGGCCCAGCUUUUCAGGUCUCAAAUAACUUAAAAGGCAAUUAGGUGAUCACAACAAACUGAUUUAUUUUGAAGUUCAGUUAACAUCUUGAUGGAAACACCAUGAUAUAAAUAGACAAUGUUUGGAUUAUAUUUGCAUCAAGAGAUGAGGUAAGACAGUCCCACAUCUGAACUAAUUACCUGACCAGCAG
rnacentral:lncRNA from 1 species